rnacentral:lncRNA from 1 species
CUGCUUCUGCUCCAGCCACACUCUUCAGGACUGUCAGGGUCUGGGCUGAAGGUGGCUGAGAAGCGGGACCUACACUCUGAAGCUGGAUGGCCCAGCCCCUCCCCAGCACAAAAACGUUGUGUGAUCCUGUCUGUUGAGAUGCUUUUCUCUGGGCCAGAUUCUCCACAUAAGCAAUGCAGGAUUAGGAUAUGAUGCUUGUUUGCUUGGAGAUCCAGGUGGUAUUUGGAAGUGGCUUGCACAAUCACAUCCCUAUGGGAACUUACCUCCCAUGUGCUUCUGGGAAAGUUUCCCACUCAACUCCAUCCACCCUGAAUAUAAAAUAGAGGUCACAGUGGUUGAUUCACCAGCAUUUUCUAACCAAAGUUUCUUUACGCUGUUUUUAUAUUACCCACAAUCCUAUUACGGCAAU